GGUCUAUUAGUCUAGUUGGUUAGGACGUCGGAUUCUGAAGACCCUCAGAAACUUCCGUAAGCCCAGGUUCGAAUCCUGGAUGGACCU
rnacentral:tRNA from 1 species